GGAGUGGNNUGUACCAGAAGUAGAUAGCUUAACCUUCGGGAGGGCGUUUACCACGGUAUGAUUCAUGACUGGGGUGAAGUCGUAACAAGGUAACCGUAGGGGAACCUGCGGUUGGAUCACCUCCUUACNAGAAUAGGCGANAGCAAGUGUNCACACAGAUNG
rnacentral:misc_RNA from 1 species